rnacentral:misc_RNA from 1 species
UCUCCGUAGGUGAACCUGCGGAGGGAUCAUUACUGAGUAAGGGCUCACGCCCGACCUCCAACCCUUUGUGAACACAUCUUGUUGCUUCGGGGGCUACCCUGCCGGCACUCUGGCGCCGGGCGCCCCCGAAGGUCUCCAAACACUGCAUCUUGGCGUCGGAGUUUAAAACAAAUUAAACAAAACUUUCAACAACGGAUCUCUUGGUUCUGGCAUCGAUGAAGAACGCAGC